GCCCUGGCAGUCAGAGGCGAUGAAGGACGUGCUAAUCUGCGAUAAGCGUCGGUAAGGUGAUAUGAACCGUUAUAACCGGCGAUUUCCGAAUGGGGAAACCCAGUGUGAUUCGUCACACUAUCAUUAACUGAAUCCAUAGGUUAAUGAGGCGAACCGGGGGAACUGAAACAUCUAAGUACCCCGAGGAAAAGAAAUCAACCGAGAUUCCCCCAGUAGCGGCGAGCGAACGGGGAGGAGCCCAGAGCCUGAAUCAGUGUGUGUGUUAGUGGAAGCGUCUGGAAAGGCGCGCGAUACAGGGUGACAGCCCCGUACACAAAAAUGCACAUGCUGUGAGCUCGAUGAGUAGGGCGGGACACGUGGUAUCCUGUCUGAAUAUGGGGGGACCAUCCUCCAAGGCUAAAUACUCCUGACUGACCGAUAGUGAACCAGUACCGUGAGGGAAAGGCGAAAAGAACCCCGGCGAGGGGAGUGAAAAAGAACCUGAAACCGUGUACGUACAAGCAGUGGGAGCACAGAGCAAUCUGUGUGACUGCGUACCUUUUGUAUAAUGGGUCAGCGACUUAUAUUCUGUAGCAAGGUUAACCGAAUAGGGGAGCCGAAGGGAAACCGAGUCUUAACUGGGCGUUAAGUUGCAGGGUAUAGACCCGAAACCCGGUGAUCUAGCCAUGGGCAGGUUGAAGGUUGGGUAACACUAACUGGAGGACCGAACCGACUAAUGUUGAAAAAUUAGCGGAUGACUUGUGGCUGGGGGUGAAAGGCCAAUCAAACCGGGAGAUAGCUGGUUCUCCCCGAAAGCUAUUUAGGUAGCGCCUCGUGAAUUCAUCUCCGGGGGUAGAGCACUGUUUCGGCAAGGGGGUCAUCCCGACUUACCAACCCGAUGCAAACUGCGAAUACCGGAGAAUGUUAUCACGGGAGACACACGGCGGGUGCUAACGUCCGUCGUGAAGAGGGAAACAACCCAGACCGCCAGCUAAGGUCCCAAAGUCAUGGUUAAGUGGGAAACGAUGUGGGAAGGCCCAGACAGCCAGGAUGUUGGCUUAGAAGCAGCCAUCAUUUAAAGAAAGCGUAAUAGCUCACUGGUCGAGUCGGCCUGCGCGGAAGAUGUAACGGGGCUAAACCAUGCACCGAAGCUGCGGCAGCGACGCUUAUGCGUUGUUGGGUAGGGGAGCGUUCUGUAAGCCUGCGAAGGUGUGCUGUGAGGCAUGCUGGAGGUAUCAGAAGUGCGAAUGCUGACAUAAGUAACGAUAAAGCGGGUGAAAAGCCCGCUCGCCGGAAGACCAAGGGUUCCUGUCCAACGUUAAUCGGGGCAGGGUGAGUCGACCCCUAAGGCGAGGCCGAAAGGCGUAGUCGAUGGGAAACAGGUUAAUAUUCCUGUACUUGGUGUUACUGCGAAGGGGGGACGGAGAAGGCUAUGUUGGCCGGGCGACGGUUGUCCCGGUUUAAGCGUGUAGGCUGGUUUUCCAGGCAAAUCCGGAAAAUCAAGGCUGAGGCGUGAUGACGAGGCACUACGGUGCUGAAGCAACAAAUGCCCUGCUUCCAGGAAAAGCCUCUAAGCAUCAGGUAACAUCAAAUCGUACCCCAAACCGACACAGGUGGUCAGGUAGAGAAUACCAAGGCGCUUGAGAGAACUCGGGUGAAGGAACUAGGCAAAAUGGUGCCGUAACUUCGGGAGAAGGCACGCUGAUAUGUAGGUGAAGCGACUUGCUCGUGGAGCUGAAAUCAGUCGAAGAUACCAGCUGGCUGCAACUGUUUAUUAAAAACACAGCACUGUGCAAACACGAAAGUGGACGUAUACGGUGUGACGCCUGCCCGGUGCCGGAAGGUUAAUUGAUGGGGUCAGCGCAAGCGAAGCUCUUGAUCGAAGCCCCGGUAAACGGCGGCCGUAACUAUAACGGUCCUAAGGUAGCGAAAUUCCUUGUCGGGUAAGUUCCGACCUGCACGAAUGGCGUAAUGAUGGCCAGGCUGUCUCCACCCGAGACUCAGUGAAAUUGAACUCGCUGUGAAGAUGCAGUGUACCCGCGGCAAGACGGAAAGACCCCGUGAACCUUUACUAUAGCUUGACACUGAACAUUGAGCCUUGAUGUGUAGGAUAGGUGGGAGGCUUUGAAGUGUGGACGCCAGUCUGCAUGGAGCCGACCUUGAAAUACCACCCUUUAAUGUUUGAUGUUCUAACGUGGACCCGUAAUCCGGGUUGCGGACAGUGUCUGGUGGGUAGUUUGACUGGGGCGGUCUCCUCCUAAAGAGUAACGGAGGAGCACGAAGGUUGGCUAAUCCUGGUCGGACAUCAGGAGGUUAGUGCAAUGGCAUAAGCCAGCUUGACUGCGAGCGUGACGGCGCGAGCAGGUGCGAAAGCAGGUCAUAGUGAUCCGGUGGUUCUGAAUGGAAGGGCCAUCGCUCAACGGAUAAAAGGUACUCCGGGGAUAACAGGCUGAUACCGCCCAAGAGUUCAUAUCGACGGCGGUGUUUGGCACCUCGAUGUCGGCUCAUCACAUCCUGGGGCUGAAGUAGGUCCCAAGGGUAUGGCUGUUCGCCAUUUAAAGUGGUACGCGAGCUGGGUUUAGAACGUCGUGAGACAGUUCGGUCCCUAUCUGCCGUGGGCGCUGGAGAACUGAGGGGGGCUGCUCCUAGUACGAGAGGACCGGAGUGGACGCAUCACUGGUGUUCGGGUUGUCAUGCCAAUGGCACUGCCCGGUAGCUAAAUGCGGAAGAGAUAAGUGCUGAAAGCAUCUAAGCACGAAACUUGCCCCGAGAUGAGUUCUCCCUGACUCCUUGAGAGUCCUGAAGGAACGUUGAAGACGACGACGUUGAUAGGCCGGGUGUGUAAGCGCAGCGAUGCGUUGAGCUAACCGGUACUAAUGAACCGUGAGG
rnacentral:rRNA from 1 species